UAUGAAUAACAAACAUAAUUUAGAUUAAUGUGUCAGCACUAUAUGCACCAACAGGUACAGAUCUGAAUGAAUAUGGAUUCUUUUGCUUUUACUCAUCAUGAAUGAUCUCCACCCAUUCAUGACUUUUUACAUGACUGACACCUGCUACCUCAUGAGAACAAAACAUCUCCAAAAUCCAUUCGUAUAAAGUGCUAGGCUGCAAGUGUGUUUUUGUAAGUGUGAUUUUGCUCUCUUGGAUAUGGCUUUUUUUGUCUUCUGUGCCUGGUUAUUUGUGCAGUUUCUCUGCAACACUCAAGAAUGAUAGCCCCAGUAAUUACAUUAUUUUUUCCACUUCUGUGGACUAGGCCCCUAAAACCUGAAGUUGUCACUGUUCCAUUCUUUUUUUUCCACCAGAAAUUCUUAAAUAAACCAUGCCACUUUAAAAAUUAAGAUCAAGACAUACUUUCUCUACAAUCUUCAUAUAUAUUUCU
rnacentral:lncRNA from 1 species